rnacentral:lncRNA from 1 species
GCUACGGUCUACUUACACCUCUCCUUGUUAUGGUUCAUGAUGUGCAGAAAAACCUUUAGGCCGAACUUAAAAUAUGUAAGGAGGCAGCUUUAGGCUAAACUUGAUUUAGCACCCUCAAGAUACCCGAGUCUCUUGCAGAUUUGAGUCAGGAUGGCUUCAGCCUAAGGAAGAGCUUGCUGGGCUCCUGCCAAUAUAAAUUACCCUCAGCAAGACGACACCAGGGAGAAAUGCUCCCACCAGGCACAGAAAUGGUUCCGGGGGCUAGAGAUUGAGAUGGUCCCCAGCCACUGUGCAGUUCUAAGCACUUCAGGGCCCACAGAACAAAGGGGCUAAUAGGGGGCCCAGGUGACCAUGAGAGAAUGGAGUUGCUGCUGCCCGAGGGAAGAGAGGACUGUCUCCCAUGCCCAGAGGCCCCGUGGGAGUGGUCCUAGCAUGCCUGUCCAGGAUAAAAGCCAAUAGAGGCCCACACAAGCCCCAGGCAGGAGGGACCCCCAAGGGAGCAGCCGCUGAGGAUGGAGAGUCCGAGAGCUGCGGGGCUGAUGGGGAGCCCAGGGGAAGCGUGGAGCAGCGUGUGAAUUCCAGCUGGGGCCCCGGCGCGGGUGCAGGCAUGGCCCUGCGCCGCCUGAUCUGCGUCCUGAUCUUGGAACUGAGCUGGAGAGAGAUGCGGGGCGUGGAAAAGGCCAGGGCAGCCGUCCUCUCCCGACUGGCUUCUGAGUGCGGCUGAGACCGCUGACACUGGUGUCUGGCGUUGCUCCUGAAAUUCUGACUUUGGAAAUCCACCGCACGCCUUUGUGCUUAGAGCAGCGAGCCUGCUUCUGGGUCAGCCUCUGAGCCAGUGUGCUUUACUGUAAGCGUUAGAAACAUGACUUCUAACAUUACAGUUAAAGGAGGAAUGAUAUAUUUCAGUGAAGAAUCCCAGCUCAACGGGGCUCUUCUGAGAACUGCAGAAAACAGCUCUGGACUCCUCCCUCGGAGCACCCGCCCAGCUUCCCUCUCCUGGCGCAAAACCUUGAUGCAAGCGGCGUGUGCCACAGUCCCAGGGUCCUCUGGCUCGUUUGUAAAUCUGUCAGCUGAGGCUACCAACAAGUUCAGAACAAGUGCUGAACGUGGGGGACAGCGCGGCCACAGACACCCAGUGAGGGUGAGUCUUGUCUGGCAGAGAAGGGCGAGGCUGGGACGUGGCAGCCGGACUCAGCUUGACCACAAAUCUCUGCCCAGUGAAGGCCGCCAUGCCACUGAAUCCUGGGAAGAAAGCAACACAAACGCCUAAACUGGAAGGAGUAAAGGUGCCCUGCAAGAGUCUUGCUCUGUCGCCCAGGCUGGAGUGCAAUGGCACAACCUCAGCUCACUGCAACAUCUACCUCCUGGGUUCAAGCGAUUCUACUGCCCCAGCCUCCUGAGUAGCUAGGAUUAUAGGCACGCACCACCACACCCAGCUAAUUUUUGUAUUUUUAGUAGAGACGGGGUUUCACCAUGUUUGCCAGGCUGCUCUUGAACUCCUAACCUUGUGAUCUGCCCACCUCGGCAUCUGCCCACCUUGGCCUCCCAAAGUGCAGGAUUACAGGUGUGAGUCACCGUGCAUGGCCAACUCUGUGUAUUUUUAAUAGAACAAGUGCUAUAUACAUAUUGAUACUCAAAACUUCAGCAUAAAAUAAAGGGGCAAGAUAUACGUGGAAAUUGCAAAAAAGCUAAAGGAGAAAGGUGUGGGGAUGCGUUCAUUUCCUGUGGCUGCUGCCAAAUUACCAAAAACUUAGUGGCUGAAAACAACCCAGACGGCCCCACAGUGCUGCCUGUCAGAAGGCUGAAGGGCUGCACUGGCUGAAAUCCACAGGCCACAGGCUUGGUCUCUCUGUGGUCUCCCCGUGGUCCAUUUGUGUUCUCUCUGUGGUCUCUCUGAGGUGUCUCUGAGGUCGGCCGGUGGUCUCUCUGAGGUCUCUCUGUAGUCUCUUCAGCAUCUCUCUAUGGUCUCCUCAUAGUCUGUCUGUGGUUUCCUUGUGGACUCCCUGUGGUCUCUCCAAGGUUUCUCUGUGGUCUCUCUGAGGUCUCUGCAGUCUCUCCAAAGUCUCUCUAUUAUCUCCUCAUGGUCUCUCUGAGGUCUCUCCGUGGUCACCCUGUGGACUCCCUGUGGUCUCUCUCUGAUUGCUCUGAGGUGUCUCUGUGGUCUCUCCAAGGCAUCUCUAUGAUCUCUCUGAGGUCUCUGUGGUCUUUCCAAAGUCUCUCUGAGGUUUCUCUGAGGUCUCCCCAUGGUCAGAAAAUUCAAACCACAAAUAUUGAAGAUAAAUAUCAAAUAGUGCUCAAUGAUGAUUAUAACCUUGUUUAUAUAUUUCUACUGCCUACAUUCAUGAUUCCUGUGCUAAGGUCUGAAUGUUUGUCCCCUCCAAAACUCACAUUGAGUCUUAAUUGGCAUUCCAUCAGUAUUUAGAGGGAGACUUUUAAGAGGUCGUUAGGCCACAGGAGCCCUGCCCUCAUGGUGGGAUUAAUGGAGUGGUUCUCUCCUUCUCUGUGCGUUCUGCCAUAUGAUGGCACAGCAAGGAGGCCCUUGCAAGAUGCCAACACCUUGAUAUUGAGCUUCCAGCUUCCAGAACUGUGAGCCAAUACAUUUCUGUUUAUUAUAAGCUACCCAGUCUCAGGUAUUCUACUAUAUCAGCACAAAAUAGAUCAUGACAUCCUAUGUCUUAAAAUGUAAUUUAGGUUUUCCAAAUUUCUGAAAAUCUUUAAAUAUUUUUGCUUCAUGUGCUCAGUUUUCCAUAUUUGCUGAGUUUUUAUAGGAAUAUUUCUCCUGAAUGUGGUUACUGCCAUAAAUCAUUCUUUGUCUAACUCACUAAAUUAGUGGAUCCCUCCCAGGACCUCUAUUUUGAUUUGCUGUGUCCUACAGAGUUAGAAAGUCCCAAGGCCAGCAUGUGUGUGUUCCUAGCCAGGGAUUCACCUAUUUAUGGAAAGUAAGCUGUAUUUCUUCCCAAGCCAAUAUAGUUUUGCUUGUCAUUAUAUCAUUUAACUAAAUUAAAUACUAAUAUUCAUAAUUCCUGAGUUAGGACUAAAUUGAAUACUUUGGAAAGAUUUGUAAAUAUUGGAGUCCAUUUUGAUGAAAGGAAAAGCAAAAAUAAAUAAAUAAAUAAAUAACUUAGAAAUAGCCUAUACUAAGAUAAUUUUUCAAGUGUCAUUAAAGUUAUGUUCACUUUGAAUUGGAAAUCUCUGAGAAACAUUUUAGGUGAAGUUUAAGUAGCAAAGACUAUUCCUACCUCUAGUCAUCAACUGAUAUCAAAGAACGGGAAUAGCACCUUUAUUUAAAUAUUGGCCAAUUAAUAAUUAUUUGUAUGGUAUACAUUUCUAAUGUUCAUGAUAUUGAUAUAUCAUUAUUAUUCUUUUCUGUAAGUGACUUAUUGAACUCUGUUUCUAAACAUUUUUUGGUACUUUGGAGAGAAGGGAGUAUUAAUAGGAAGGAUUUGUUUAAUCCCUUCAUCUGUAUAACAAACAAAGAUGACACUGGAUUAUGACUUCUUCUGGCCUCUAACAUGGGCAUUUCAUCAACUGCCAUGAUUUUGCCAAGUGACUAUUUGGAAAUAAUGCCAUCUUUAUUAGUCUGUUUUCACACUGCCAUAGAGAACUACCAGAGGCUGGGUAAUUUAUAAAGAGGUUUAAUUGACCCACAGUUCCACAUGGCUGGGGAGAUCUCAGAAAACACAAUCAUGGCAAAAGGUGAAGGGAAGCAAGGCAUGUCUUACAUGGUGGCAGGAGCAGCAGAGGAAGUGCCGCACUCUUAAACCAUUG